UUUUUAGGCUGAAGAGGAUGCACUUUUCUUUCAACAAUACAGAGCAAGUGAAAAUAGUGGGGAAUUUGAACGGAGAGUGUGGCCUUAUGUUAAGCAAGUAUUCUUGUAUGAGGACCCAGUUCGCCAGGAGGCUGCACGAAAGUCUGUUCCUGUUGAUGAAGUUGAGGAGAAGGCACUGGUUUCUUUGGCCAAGGAGGGAAAGUUCAAACCUUCAAAAGAAGAGAAAGAUCAUGCCUUCUUGCUGCAUUUGAUUUCC